AUACCUUCUCGGCCUUUUGGCUAAGAUCAAGUGUAGUAUCUGUUCUAAUCAGUGUGAAAACUGAUUUCCACACUUCGGUGUGGUUUUUUUUUCACAUUCAUUUUUACAAAUUCCGAGAGUCCAGUUGGCUUGCCACUGACUUUUGGACUGGUUUCCGAGGGCCUAGCACUCCUCCCUUGCGAAGCCUACCUACA
rnacentral:snRNA from 1 species